CUUCCUAAGUGGGUGUUCCCAUCACUCCAACAUCCAUCCUGGACAACCUGGGGCCUUCUUCUCAUCUCACUGCUGAAGGGUUCCUGUCCUUGUUGGCCCUGUCCCUGGACAUAAGCCAGAGGGGAGGCAGUGGCUACAGGGGUUCAAGCAGAUCAUGAUACUCAAGUUGGAGAACUUGCCCCUUCCUAGGUGUCUUCACCUGCAAGUGCCCUAGAGGACAUCUGAAGACCAUCGUGAGAACAGACAUCACUUGCCAGCGCCCCUGGACGCAGGAACCUAGAACCACCCUUCCAACAUCCCACUCACCAGACAGGAUCCGACCUCGGAUGGAGACGUUACCAGUGAAGGGGCAUUUCUUGUCUAUCCUGCAGAACUCACGGCUGAGAUCAAAAAGAGCUUUUCAGCCAGACUGGACCUCCAAAACAUACAAAUCCACUCAUUCGGGAUUCAAGCUUAUGUCCACGUAGCCGAGCCUGGUGGGCCGGAUCUGUCAUCCCGGUUGAGGUUGAGGCAGGAUGGCAAGUUUAAGACAAGCCUAAGCUCAUCGAGGCCAGAGCUGCGCUCACACUGAAAACUACAGCGAGGUCGGGACCGCAGCCCUGCCGUAGAGCGCACGAGGUCCGGGCCUCAGUCUCCAUCAAGGGGAAAAAACCUGCUUUACCCAGUGUCCCCGGCUCUGCCGCCGCAGGACUCCCGCGCCGCAGGAUGCCCUCCUCCCGCCACAAUCCCUCACCCGUUAAGCUCUGAGCUUUAAGAACCAACUCCCGAAGCGCCAGGG
rnacentral:lncRNA from 1 species